GUCAAGCUAGCUUGUAUGUAGGCUGCAUAGAACUAAAGCUUCUGGCAUUAGGCUAAGAGUAUGAUGUCUUCAGUUAUUUCAAAAUGUGUCAGAUCUAAAGAGAGUCCAGGUGACAAAGCAUAAGUCUGUCAUUUGGGCCAAAUAAGAGGUAGAUUUUACUUGUAUAAUAUUGAUUGGUUGUCAGUAAAUAGUUCUUGGUAAACUCAAGUCCUUCAGUAAAUUUGGCUUUGAACAUUUAGUCUUCUAUACAUUGAAGGAAUUCUACUCUUGGGCAGCUGAAGCAGUAUACCAAAGCCAGACAUCCAGUUUGCAGACCAAUUAUGAUGAAGAACAAAACAAGCUGUUUGCCACUCAAAACUUCCCAGACUUCACCACUUCUGUUGUUUAUGCAUGGAAUUAUCGGGGACAUUGAGUAGGCGUGCUUAAGGGAAGUAACACAAGCUUGUUUCCUGGCUUUAUCUGAGAAAAUGUUGGCAACUUUAUAUAUUUUCUUGUUUCCUUAUCUUAUUCUAAAUGUGUUGUUGAAUAAAGAGUUACCCCAUGC
rnacentral:lncRNA from 1 species